UCUAGGAGGACCUCGUGGUGGAGAGAUUAAAGAGCUUCUACCAUCAUCCUCGUGGAGUCCAUUGGUCCCUGAAAAGAAGCAGAUGGGGAAGAAUGAUUCCACUCACCUCUGACUUUUCAGAAAUCCUAAGAUCUUGGGCUGUAACGAGGACCUCGCUGAUGAAACACAAGUUGUGAAAUUCUGACUAGCAUGAAGAUGGAUACCUCAGACAUCCCCUGAGAAUCAUGAAUACAAACAACUAUGAUCUAGCUGAGCCUUAUCUUUCAUCAAAAACAAGAGGAUCUCUCAGCACACCAAGAUUAGCUUUCUGAAAUCCUUCCUUCAGCAACCAGCAACUCCAGGAGCCUUCCUUCUUGUUGCUCAGAUUUACCUGACAAUUACUGGGGAAACUCUUCAUAAAACAAAUGCUUGAAUGUAGCCUAGCAUGUUGUGCCUGCCAAUGUAUGAUUUGGCUUUCAAAAUCUACCUCUUCCUCAUUCUUUGCUUAACUUAUUGUUCAUCUGUCUUAAACACUUCUAAAGAUCUUCUUGUACAUUUUUCUAGACUCUAGCCUCUAGAAGGCACAAGCUGUGCAUAAUCCUUGAGUUUGGCAGAAACCUCUGGUUCCAUUCACUUCCUGUAGAGGAAGAAUGAAACUAUUGUUCACACAAAAAUAUGUUAUGGCCAGUAGCCUAUUUUUUUAUGGCCCCAAAAAAGAAAUACAAUGAAACACGCUAGUGAAAGGUCCAAAAUGCCUUACUCUUAUUUUCAGACACUGAAAUUGGAUGGCUUAUUGCAUAUGAGUUCCAUUAUACUGUUUUAU